AGUGCAUGAAGGCGGAAUCGCUAGUAAUCGUGGAUCAGCAUGCCACGGUGAAUACGUUCCCGGGCCUUGUACACACCGCCCGUCACACCAUGGGAGUUGGUCUUACCCGACGGCGCUGCGCCAACCGCAAGGAGGCAGGCGACCACGGUAGGGUCAGCGACUGGGGUGAAGUCGUAACAAGGUAGC
rnacentral:rRNA from 1 species